GUUAAAGUUGUAACAAAUUUCAAUUGCUUUCAAGUUUUAACUGCAAAUCCGGGAAAUCGCUCAGAAAGCAGUUGGCGACUCUGGAGAGCACCGGUGCAAUUUGCAUAGAUCACUUUCUUCUGGUGCAAUGUGUAGAGAGAUGUGACAUGUGAGAGUUCUGUUUGGAGGCAGUUGGUACCCUAUGUUCACUUGCUGGACAUAGUGUGCUAAAGAGAGAUGGAGGAACUGCUGUAAACAUAGCAGAUCUCAUGGAGCAAAUAUGUAGUUUCUGUUACAAAGCUGUAAUAGAAAAAUGUAGUGGGACAAUUUGUCAGGCUUUAGAGAAGCAUCAUCCUUUGCUAUAUCUCCACUUCAUGUAAAUGGAAACAUCUCUGGAACUUCAUGUUGACCUGGGAAAUUUAGCCCCUGUGCCCAUUGCAUCAAUGAAAGGCAGAAUUUUACAACCUAUAGGCCAAUUUUACAACUCACUUAUGGUGAUUGUUCCUUCAAAUGCAAUUAUAAUGUAUGUUGGUAUUGUUUAUCAACAUUCAACUGGCAUAACAGCAUGUUCUGGAAAUAAUAAUAGGAUACAUUAGUUAUAGGUUGGUGAAUAAGAUAACCCUUCAGCGCCUCUAUUUUUGCUGUGUGAUAGCUCGGAGUCGAAACUACUAAUAUCCUUGUACAAUAAGUUCAAAAAGGUUUUAAAGGAAAACACUUCAAGUUGAUUUAUCUGCGUGAUAUAGCGGUUUUU
rnacentral:lncRNA from 1 species